AUUUACAUAGAUUAUAAGAUGAGAUCGCAACACUGAAGAUGUUGAAGAGGUUGUUUAAAACCUGUGAAUA
rnacentral:tRNA from 1 species